rnacentral:rRNA from 1 species
UAGGACUCUCAACAAUGGAUAUCUCUGCUCUUGCAUCGAUGAAGAACGCAACUAAAUGCGAUACGUGGUGCGAAUUGCAGAAUCCCGUGAACCAUCGAGUUUUUGAUCGCAAGUUGCGCCUGAGGCCAUCUGGCCAAGGGCACGUUCGCCUGGGCAUCAUGC